rnacentral:misc_RNA from 1 species
GUCUUUUGUUGAUUAGGGGGUGGAGAAUGCUUAUACGUGUAGGCGCAUGAGUGGUGUUUUGCUUGUGUUGGUUGGUUGGAUCCUUGCUCAGGCAACGACGUCCAUCCACACAAGCAUCUUCAGUGUCGUCUCGAGAUAAUAUUAUCACGAGUUUUGGAUUGGUUUCUUGUGUUGGGUACCUACUUGAUGGCACUCGAUAGUCUAAAUGUCCAUUUUCGCCUUUCGUUGUUCCUCUUUGGGAUGAUGCAGGGUGAACCAUGAAGUGAUCUCCGUGUCCCACUCUGCUCACAUUGAUUUGUGCUUGUGGAUUGGUCCAUGGGGAGUUUGCUUGAACUGUUGGAUGCGGUGCAUUGUAUACGGGCAUGAGGACUUGCGUCCUCUCUCUGCCCGAACAAAAGCUUUCAUCGCUUAGUUGCGAACGAUUGCGAUCCCCGUUUCGAGCCUUAUGGCAAGUGCGGUGAUCGCUUCGUUGAGGAAUGCUACCUGGUUGAUCCUG